CGGAGUGAGAGCGUACACAGGUGCUGCAUGGCUGUCGUCAGCUCGUGUCGUGAGAUGUUGGGUUAAGUCCCGCAACGAGCGCAACCCUGCAUUCAGUUGCCAUCGGUAAGGCCGGGCACUCUGGAUGGACUGUCGGCGACAAGCCGGAGGAAGUGGGGACGACGUCAAGUCAUCAUGGCCCUUAUGUCCAGGGCGACACACGUGCUACAAUGGCCGGCACAACGGGAAGCGAAGGGGCGACCCUGAGCGGAUCCCAUAAAAGCCGGUCUCAGUUCGGAUUGCAGUCUGCAACUCGACUGCAUGAAGUUGGAAUCGCUAGUAAUCGUGGAUCAGCCAAGCCGCGGUGAAUACGUUCCCGGGCCUU
rnacentral:rRNA from 1 species